AGAGUUUGAUCCUGGCUCAGGACGAACGCUGGCGGCGUGCUUAACACAUGCAAGUCGAGCGGAAAGGCCCUUCGGGGUACUCGAGCGGCGAACGGGUGAGUAACACGUGAGCAACCUGCCCCUGGCUCUGGGAUAGCUCCCGGAAACGGGGAUUAAUACCGGACAUUCACUGCCUUCCGCAUGGUUGGCGGUGGAAAGUUUUUUCGGCCAGGGAGGGGCUCGCGGCCUAUCAGCUUGUUGGCGGGGUAACGGCCCACCAAGGCGACGACGGGUAGCCGGCCUGAGAGGGCGACCGGCCACACUGGGACUGAGACACGGCCCAGACUCCUACGGGGGGCUGCAGUAACGAAUCUUCCGCAAUGCACGCAAGUGUGACGGAGCGACGCCGCGUGUGGGACGAAGUCCUUCGGGAUGUAAACCACUGUCAGGGGUUAGAAAGUUCUGAUCAACCCCAGAGGAAGG
rnacentral:rRNA from 1 species